CGCGGCCUAUCAGCUUGUUGGUGGGGUAAUGGCCUACCAAGGCUUUGACGGGUAGCCGGCCUGAGAGGGCGACCGGCCACACUGGGACUGAGAUACGGCCCAGACUCCUACGGGAGGCAGCAGUGGGGAAUAUUGCACAAUGGACGGAAGUCUGAUGCAGCAACGCCGCGUGCGGGAUGACGGCCUUCGGGUUGUAAACCGCUUUCACCAGGGGCGAAUUUGACGGUACCUGGAGAAGAAGCACCGGCUAACUACGUGCCAGCAGCCGCGGUGAUACGUAGGGUGCGAGCGUUGUCCGGAUUUAUUGGGCGUAAAGAGCUCGUAGGUGGUUUGUUGCGUCGGGAGUGAAAACACGCAGCUCAACUGUGUGCUUGCUUUCGAUACGGGCAGACUUGAGGGAUGUAGGGGAGAACGGAAUUCCUGGUGGAGCGGUGGAAUGCGCAGAUAUCAGGAGGAACACCGGUGGCGAAGGCGGUUCUCUGGACAUUUCCUGACGCUGAGGAGCGAAAGCGUGGGGAGCAAACAGGCUUAGAUACCCUGGUAGUCCACGCCGUAAACGGUGGGCACUAGGUGUGGGGGACAUUCCACGUUCUCCGUGCCGUAGCUAACGCAUUAAGUGCCCCGCCUGGGGAGUACGGA
rnacentral:rRNA from 1 species